CCCUAGCCCCAAUAGUAGUAGAAAUCCCUUUGUGCCGGCGUUCGGCACAAAAGAUUGGAACGGAUAGCGGGAGAUAGC
rfam:Flavobacterium hibernum strain DSM 12611 Contig08, whole genome shotgun sequence.